AAGACUAUACUUUCAGGGAUCAUUUCUAUAGUUCGUUACUAGAUAAGUCUCUCUGAAUGUGUAGAGCACCGUAAACCACGAGGAGGAGGCGCAGCGUUCUCUCCUGAGCGUGAAGCCAGCUCUUGAUGUUGCUUUAGUGCAGUUACCACUUGCCAUUGAUGAUCGUUCUUCUCUUUCUUUGGGGGAAUAAGAGGGAGAGAACGCAGUCUGAGUGGU
rfam:Otolemur garnettii contig043567, whole genome shotgun sequence.